UUUUUUCAACGUAAAAGUAAAACAAGUUCAUAUAUAUCGUAAUACAGUAAGCCAGAGUAUUUAAUUUAAUUUACAGUAACAAGUGGGCCCACGAAUGACCAAAAGUAUUAAAAGCAGUAAACCUACAGUUUUUGAGGAUGCAAGUCCAACUGUAGCCCUCAACGAAAUGAGCUAUUUACCGACUAUCCUGAGCCUGAAAUGGGUGGAAAUGAGGGUGGUGAGAUUAUAAAAUCCUAGUGAGUAAACAAACAUCAUCAUAAACAUCUAGAGUUGAGUACAUGGAGACCAUAAAGUAAAUCAUCGUAAACUGGGUCAUAGCAUCAGAAUACAUUUCAUUCAAAAUACGUAAUGAGGCUUAUGAAUCUCAUAAAAACUAGGCUUGUGCCAUAAAUCCAUCCUCAGGGACACCUUGGAGGAGGCAUCCUACCGAGACCGUCAUGGCUAUUAAAAUUUCACAUUUCGUAUAAAAUGUAUUUUUCGUUGGACAUCACAAUCGUUCCUUGGCGUUGGCUGAGUUCACCAUCACGUGGUUCGACAUGGAGUGAACUCAAAUAUCACAUCAGGAGUUACUCUACGCGCCUCUACAGCCGAGGUGAGCACAUAUAAACGGGCUUACCGUGCCCCUCUCAUAGGUUGGUCCACGAAACUCGCCUACUACAGUA
rnacentral:lncRNA from 1 species